rnacentral:lncRNA from 1 species
AAGCUAAUUCUCAAAUUUUAAGACAUCGCUAAUCCAUCUAUUGGACUCUAUGACAAUUCAAAUUAGGACUAUAUCAGAAGCACUACAGGCGACAUUAUAUAAUCUGCAAUUGCUGUUUCAAUUUCAGCUUUCUUCAAAAUCGGUGGCAUUGUUCAAACCAUAAUCACUCAUGUCACAUAUUUGCUUGUUAUCUUUAAACAUCUCACAACUUCAUCUUUGUACUCUGCAUGCCAAUUAAUUAAUGGGUCAAGAGGAAAAAAAAAAAAAACUACAUAAGAAAUCAAAAUCAUUAGAGAAACUAUAAAAACAGUAAGGAUUCUUUAAAAGUCUGCUAGCCUAAAUAUUGAAUUCAUCAGCAUUUGGAAACUAAUUACCUCUUUAAAAUUAGUCCUAAUUAAUUUUAAGUACUAACAUUUAUCAGCUAAAGGAAAAGGUAAAGAAGAAUAUUAAUCUUCGAACUCUCUUUAUCUCCGAAGAAAUACAAUAGGGAGGAGUUAAUUCAAACCUCUCUAAUAAAAUUAGAAAAACAUAUAAUAAGAAUACUCGGACAUGCUUAAAUUUUCACAAACAAAUGAAAAAGGGAAGACAGUUAAUAGAUUCUACUAUCAUCAUCAAAGGACAGGUAGACAUUAUUUACUACACAACAUGAUAUGUUCAGUAUAAAUUUCAGCACAUUACUUAGACAAAAAGCAGAAGAGAUAUUUAAUAAAGUUUCGACAUUGCGUCCAACCACUGAGAAAUAAAAGUGCAUGUUAAUCAAAGCACUUGUUGUAUCAAUGAAACUUGUAUAUCUAAGAAAUAAGAAGAAUUGUAGUCUGAAAAUAACAAUGUUAAACUUUUGAGUUAUUGGUGAUUAAAUUGAAUAAUCAAGAUAUCCUUUUUUAAGACAGAGUAUUUGACUUAACUCAGGGGAGCUAGAAUCAAUGAAGUUGGAUCUUAUAACACGUUCAAAAAUCAAAUCAGAGCACUGUGAAAGAAUAAGAAAUUACUUUGAAUCAGGUGACAGUAAAUGUACCUGAAAUCACGUUAAUGAAUUCUUUGGAUGAAACAAAUGUUUUGGUAAUUUUGGAGCACCCUAUCAAAACUGCACAAUUUUCUAUUAUAUUGCACUUGUCGGGUUAAUUUCUGAUAUGGUCACUCAACUAUUAAAUUCUCUUUCUUGCCUUCUGUUUUUCCUACUAUUUUUAUUACUUAAAUUAGUGGAUUAAGUUCUGAGACCAAAUAAGUUCCUACAUAAAAAGUAAACUUUCAGUAUUUCCCCAAUCUCUUUAGAUUUGUUAUUAAGUAUUAACUCUUCACAGUUCUCAUCUUUAUUUCUGUUAAUAAACAUGAAUCAGAUGUAAAUCUGCUUCUAAUUUUUCUAUUAAGAAGAUAUAAAGCAGACUUCAAAUAACACAAAACCUAUUUACAAUAUCCAGAAUCAACGAAAACAUCUACAGGUUAAAUAAAUGAAAGUGAUUCAACAUUUGAUAGUAUAACAUUCUUAACUUUGCAUAUAUCUAAACGUAUCAAAACAUCCAUUGGGACAAUGAUACUACCAUAUUGUCCUUAUCAAGUUCAGAUCUAGUUCAGAAAAAGUGUCGCAGGCAUGUUGUUCCUUUAAACAAAUUAGAUUGAUGUUCAAUCAGACCUGUAUACUUGUAAGGAGUUGUUUAUGUUCGACAAGGGUUGCGGUCAAGGACUCUGCAUGACCACUAGUACCACCAUCAUGUGAACUCUUAAAAAGCCACCCUCUCCAUCAUUAGCUUUUGCCUAUAUAUAUGUAUAUGUUUUCAUGCAACCUGAAUUCGUAGUCUAUUUAAACUUUAUUAGAAAACCAAACAUAAGCUAGAUGAAGUUAGUACAGUAGAGUUUCAGCUAUAAGUUUCUUACCCCUAAACUUAUGCUUUCUGUAUUUGUGUGCUAACUUUUAAGCAAAUAUGGUUGUUAAGUCAGCACAAAAGGAGUACAUAAAUAUUCUGUUAUUUAGCAGUCACAUUAUCAAAAAAAGGUAUAAAAUACAAAAAAAUGAAAUUAAGCAAUAAUAGAACCGCCGUAAAAUUUAGAUAUGUCAUAACAAUUUCGAGUAUAAUUCAGGUGAUACUUGUCUUUUACCUCAAGCAAGUGAUUAAGCGGUAUUUGAAUACAAAAAGAACUUAAAUUCAAUUAUAACUUGUUAAUUUUUUCACUUGUACAUUAUAUUAUUAUUCUGUCCACGCAUUCAAUAAUGUAUUGCAGUAAUUAAAUUGAACUCACUUUUUUUUUUUGUAGAAGAUAUGUUGAAUGAAUUUUCCUUAAAAGAGUUGGUCAGUGUGCUCUGUCAUGCCUUUUACGGAGAGAAAAAAUAGAGUUUUAACAGGACUUAUAGAAUCAGCAUACCAAUUGAAGGGAUUGCUUAUGAACACGUUGUAGGGCAUGCGUCCAACACCUCAAUACUUCUACUAUAUCAACAGUAGGAUAGCCUCUUUGUUCUUUUGUCAUUUUUCUUCUUCUCAUUUUUUCAAUUUGAAGUCGAUUUUGCUAUGUAUCGCCUGUUCUCUUUGUUCUUUUGCCAUUCUUUUUUUCUCAUUUCAUCAAUUUUGGAAUCAAUUUUUUGCUAGGACAUUGAAAAAACUACUAAGGAAUUAAUGUUUCAGACAUAUUAUCAAACACCACAUGUGCAUCAAUGUGAAAAUCAUAUACCAACAUAGCAUGCAUAUUGAAUAUACAAUACGAAAACUAUAGUUCAAAAUAAAUAUUUCCAGAAAUUUCAAGGAAUCAAAAUUUGUAAAUGAAUUGCAUGCGUAUUUUACCUUUUUAAUAACUGUAAAAACUAGGGGUGUACAUAGGUCGGGUUGGUUCAAUUUUUACUAAAAUAAAAUCAAACCAAUCAUGUCGGUUUAUUAAAACUAUAAACCAAAUCAAACCAACAAAAAAUUUAUUUUUUCGGUUUAGGUUUUAGUCGUUUUUUUUGGAUUUUCGAUUCUUUCGGUUUUUUCGAUUUCUUUUUUGUAAUCUUUAGUUUUUAUAAUUAUAUUAUGAUCGAAAACUAGAUUAAAUAUGUUUUCACUCAUGUUCUAAUGAAAAAUCAUAAUUAUGAAAAAAUGAGAAGUGGAAAACUCUCUUGAAACUAAAAAGUGAGAUGAAGAGUGAAAAAUUUAGGUUUUAAGUUUAUAUUGGAUUUUUGAUCAUUUAAUUAGCAAUUAAUGGACAAAUAUUACAACUUAAAGACUCAGCUCUAAAUAUAUAUCUACACCUACUUUCAAAUUAUUGACAAUUACUAAAACUAGUUGAAAAAGUAGAUUAUAAUUAAUUUUUUAUGUCGGUUUGAUUUGGGUUCGGUUUAACUUUUUUUUUGUUAACACCAAACUAAACCAAGAAUGGUUGGUUUUUUUUGUCUAAUGUCAAACCAAUCAAACCAAAUCAUAAGUCGAAUUUUUUUCUCGAUUUGAUUUGGUUCGUCGGUUCGAUUUAACUUGACGGUUUAGUCUGUAUACUCCUAGUAAAAACUAACCAAAUUCUCUAACCAUCGACUGUGAAAUCUGGUUAAAUUGUGGUCACUGAUUGAAGUAGACGAUGCGACUAACAAAUAUCUGUGCAAAAACUUCAAAAACCAACAAUCACAGAUGCUAUUGAAGCCCCAUUAUCAGCAAAAUUGAUGAAUUAGACGAAGAAAUAUAAAUGAAAACUUACCUGAACUAAAAAAUACAGUACAUAUCUAGACAAAUUGAAAAGUAGAGAAUAAAAUUCAUUUGCUCCNNNN